rnacentral:rRNA from 1 species
UUAAGCGACUAAGCGUACACGGUGGAUGCCCUGGCAGUCAGAGGCGAUGAAGGACGUGCUAAUCUGCGAUAAGCGCCGGUAAGGUGAUAUGAACCGUUAUAACCGGCGAUUUCCGAAUGGGGAAACCCAGUGUGAUUCGUCACACUAUCAUUAACUGAAUCCAUAGGUUAAUGAGGCGAACCGGGGGAACUGAAACAUCUAAGUACCCCGAGGAAAAGAAAUCAACCGAGAUUCCCCCAGUAGCGGCGAGCGAACGGGGAGGAGCCCAGAGCCUGAAUCAGCAUGUGUGUUAGUGGAAGCGUCUGGAAAGGCGCGCGAUACAGGGUGACAGCCCCGUACACAAAAGCGCAUGUGCUGUGAGCUCGAUGAGUAGGGCGGGACACGUGGUAUCCUGUCUGAAUAUGGGGGGACCAUCCUCCAAGGCUAAAUACUCCUGACUGACCGAUAGUGAACCAGUACCGUGAGGGAAAGGCGAAAAGAACCCCGGCGAGGGGAGUGAAAAAGAACCUGAAACCGUGUACGUACAAGCAGUGGGAGCACCCUUUGGGGUGUGACUGCGUACCUUUUGUAUAAUGGGUCAGCGACUUAUAUUCUGUAGCAAGGUUAACCGUAUAGGGGAGCCGGAGGGAAACCGAGUCUUAAUUGGGCGUUAAGUUGCAGGGUAUAGACCCGAAACCCGGUGAUCUAGCCAUGGGCAGGUUGAAGGUUGGGUAACACUAACUGGAGGACCGAACCGACUAAUGUUGAAAAAUUAGCGGAUGACCUGUGGCUGGGGGUGAAAGGCCAAUCAAACCGGGAGAUAGCUGGUUCUCCCCGAAAGCUAUUUAGGUAGCGCCUCGUGAAUUCAUCUCCGGGGGUAGAGCACUGUUUCGGCUAGGGGGCCAUCCCGGCUUACCAACCCGAUGCAAACUGCGAAUACCGGAGAAUGUUAUCACGGGAGACACACGGCGGGUGCUAACGUCCGUCGUGAAGAGGGAAACAACCCAGACCGCCAGCUAAGGUCCCAAAGUCAUGGUUAAGUGGGAAACGAUGUGGGAAGGCCCAGACAGCCAGGAUGUUGGCUUAGAAGCAGCCAUCAUUUAAAGAAAGCGUAAUAGCUCACUGGUCGAGUCGGCCUGCGCGGAAGAUGUAACGGGGCUAAACCAUGCACCGAAGCUGCGGCAGCGACGCUUAUGCGUUGUUGGGUAGGGGAGCGUUCUGUAAGCCUGUGAAGGUGGCCUGUGAGGGUUGCUGGAGGUAUCAGAAGUGCGAAUGCUGACAUAAGUAACGAUAAAGCGGGUGAAAAGCCCGCUCGCCGGAAGACCAAGGGUUCCUGUCCAACGUUAAUCGGGGCAGGGUGAGUCGACCCCUAAGGCGAGGCCGAAAGGCGUAGUCGAUGGGAAACGGGUUAAUAUUCCCGUACUUGGUGUUACUGCGAAGGGGGGACGGAGAAGGCUAUGUUGGCCGGGCGACGGUUGUCCCGGUUUAAGCGUGUAGGUGUGUGUUCCAGGUAAAUCCGGUUCACUUUAACACUGAGGCGUGAUGACGAGGCACUACGGUGCUGAAGCAACAAAUGCCCUGCUUCCAGGAAAAGCCUCUAAGCAUCAGGUAACAUCAAAUCGUACCCCAAACCGACACAGGUGGUCAGGUAGAGAAUACCAAGGCGCUUGAGAGAACUCGGGUGAAGGAACUAGGCAAAAUGGUGCCGUAACUUCGGGAGAAGGCACGCUGACACGUAGGUGAAGUGAUUUACUCAUGGAGCUGAAGUCAGUCGAAGAUACCAGCUGGCUGCAACUGUUUAUUAAAAACACAGCACUGUGCAAACACGAAAGUGGACGUAUACGGUGUGACGCCUGCCCGGUGCCGGAAGGUUAAUUGAUGGGGUCAGCGCAAGCGAAGCUCCUGAUCGAAGCCCCGGUAAACGGCGGCCGUAACUAUAACGGUCCUAAGGUAGCGAAAUUCCUUGUCGGGUAAGUUCCGACCUGCACGAAUGGCGUAAUGAUGGCCAGGCUGUCUCCACCCGAGACUCAGUGAAAUUGAACUCGCUGUGAAGAUGCAGUGUACCCGCGGCAAGACGGAAAGACCCCGUGAACCUUUACUAUAGCUUGACACUGAACAUUGAGCCUUGAUGUGUAGGAUAGGUGGGAGGCUUUGAAGCGUGGACGCCAGUCUGCGUGGAGCCGACCUUGAAAUACCACCCUUUAAUGUUUGAUGUUCUAACGUGGACCCGUAAUCCGGGUUGCGGACAGUGUCUGGUGGGUAGUUUGACUGGGGCGGUCUCCUCCUAAAGAGUAACGGAGGAGCACGAAGGUUGGCUAAUCCUGGUCGGACAUCAGGAGGUUAGUGCAAUGGCAUAAGCCAGCUUGACUGCGAGCGUGACGGCGCGAGCAGGUGCGAAAGCAGGUCAUAGUGAUCCGGUGGUUCUGAAUGGAAGGGCCAUCGCUCAACGGAUAAAAGGUACUCCGGGGAUAACAGGCUGAUACCGCCCAAGAGUUCAUAUCGACGGCGGUGUUUGGCACCUCGAUGUCGGCUCAUCACAUCCUGGGGCUGAAGUAGGUCCCAAGGGUAUGGCUGUUCGCCAUUUAAAGUGGUACGCGAGCUGGGUUUAGAACGUCGUGAGACAGUUCGGUCCCUAUCUGCCGUGGGCGCUGGAGAACUGAGGGGGGCUGCUCCUAGUACGAGAGGACCGGAGUGGACGCAUCACUGGUGUUCGGGUUGUCAUGCCAAUGGCACUGCCCGGUAGCUAAAUGCGGAAGAGAUAAGUGCUGAAAGCAUCUAAGCACGAAACUUGCCCCGAGAUGAGUUCUCCCUGAGACUUAGAGUCUCCUGAAGGAACGUUGAAGACGACGACGUUGAUAGGCCGGGUGUGUAAGCGCAGCGAUGCGUUGAGCUAACCGGUACUAAUGAACCGUGAGGCUUAACCUU